AGCUCCGAGGUGCUAGCACAUUAGAUUGCAAAUCUGAAGGUGCAGGAUAAUUUCCUGCCGGGGCUU
rnacentral:tRNA from 2 species